rnacentral:rRNA from 1 species
CCGCAAACCGACACAGGUGGGUGAGGAGAGUAUCCUAAGGCCAGCGAGAGAACUGUUGUUAAGGAACUCGGCAAAAUGACCCCGUAACUUAGGGAUAAGGGGUGCCGCCAUCAGGUGGCCGCAGAGAAUAGGCCCAAGCGACUGUUUACCAAAAACAUAGGUUUCUGCUAAGUCGCAAGACGAUGUAUAGGAGCUGACGCCUGCCCGGUGCUG